rnacentral:rRNA from 1 species
GAUGAACGCUGGCGGCGUGCUUAACACAUGCAAGUCGAACGAUGAAGCCCAGCUUGCUGGGUGGAUUAGUGGCGAACGGGUGAGUAACACGUGAGUAACCUGCCCUUAACUCUGGGAUAAGCCUGGGAAACUGGGUCUAAUACCGGAUAGGAGCGUCCACCGCAUGGUGGGUGUUGGAAAGAUUUAUCGGUUUUGGAUGGACUCGCGGCCUAUCAGCUUGAUGGUGAGGUAAUGGCUCACCAAGGCGACGACGGGUAGCCGGCCUGAGAGGGUGACCGGCCACACUGGGACUGAGACACGGCCCAGACUCCUACGGGAGGCAGCAGUGGGGAAUAUUGCACAAUGGGCGCAAGCCUGAUGCAGCGACGCCGCGUGAGGGAUGACGGCCUUCGGGUUGUAAACCUCUUUCAGUAGGGAAGAAGCGAAAGUGACGGUACCUGCAGAAGAAGCACCGGCUAACUACGUG